rnacentral:rRNA from 1 species
GUGGGGAAUAUUGGACAAUGGGGGGAACCCUGAUCCAGCCAUGCCGCGUGUGUGAAGAAGGCCUUUUGGUUGUAAAGCACUUUAAGCGAGGAGGAGGCUACCGAGAUUAAUACUCUUGGAUAGUGGACGUUACUCGCAGAAUAAGCACCGGCUAACUCUGUGCCAGCAGCCGCGGUAAUACAGAGGGUGCAAGCGUUAAUCGGAUUUACUGGGCGUAAAGCGCGCGUAGGUGGCCAAUUAAGUCAAAUGUGAAAUCCCCGAGCUUAACUUGGGAAUUGCAGUCGAUACUGGUUGGCUAGAGUAUGGGAGAGGAUGGUAGAAUUCCAGGUGUAGCGGUGAAAUGCGUAGAGAUCUGGAGGAAUACCGAUGGCGAAGGCAGCCAUCUGGCCUAAUACUGACACUGAGGUGCGAAAGCAUGGGGAGCAAACAGGAUUAGAUACCCCGGUAGUCC